rnacentral:rRNA from 3 species
CCCCGGUAAACGGCGGCCGUAACUAUAACGGUCCUAAGGUAGCGAAAUUCCUUGUCGGGUAAGUUCCGACCUGCACGAAUGGCGUAAUGAUGGCCAGGCUGUCUCCACCCGAGACUCAGUGAAAUUGAACUCGCUGUGAAGAUGCAGUGUACCCGCGGCAAGACGGAAAGACCCCGUGAACCUUUACUAUAGCUUGACACUGAACAUUGAGCCUUGAUGUGUAGGAUAGGUGGGAGGCUUUGAAGUGUGGACGCCAGUCUGCAUGGAGCCGACCUUGAAAUACCACCCUUUAAUGUUUGAUGUUCUAACGUGGACCCGUAAUCCGGGUUGCGGACAGUGUCUGGUGGGUAGUUUGACUGGGGCGGUCUCCUCCUAAAGAGUAACGGAGGAGCACGAAGGUUGGCUAAUCCUGGUCGGACAUCAGGAGGUUAGUGCAAUGGCAUAAGCCAGCUUGACUGCGAGCGUGACGGCGCGAGCAGGUGCGAAAGCAGGUCAUAGUGAUCCGGUGGUUCUGAAUGGAAGGGCCAUCGCUCAACGGAUAAAAGGUACUCCGGGGAUAACAGGCUGAUACCGCCCAAGAGUUCAUAUCGACGGCGGUGUUUGGCACCUCGAUGUCGGCUCAUCACAUCCUGGGGCUGAAGUAGGUCCCAAGGGUAUGGCUGUUCGCCAUUUAAAGUGGUACGCGAGCUGGGUUUAGAACGUCGUGAGACAGUUCGGUCCCUAUCUGCCGUGGGCGCUGGAGAACUGAGGGGGGCUGCUCCUAGUACGAGAGGACCGGAGUGGACGCAUCACUGGUGUUCGGGUUGUCAUGCCAAUGGCACUGCCCGGUAGCUAAAUGCGGAAGAGAUAAGUGC